GACGAGCCUCACAAACGUUAUUCGGAAUUACUGGGCUUAAAGGGUGCGUAGGCGGUGCGGAAAGUUGGGUGUGAAAUCCCUCGGCUCAACCGAGGAACUGCGCUCAAAACUGCCGUACUCGAGGAAGAUAGAGGUGAGCGGAACUUACGGUGGAGCGGUGAAAUGCGUUGAUAUCGUAAGGAACACCCGUGGCGAAAGCGGCUCACUGGGUCUUAUCUGACGCUGAGGCGCGAAAGCCAGGGGAGCAAACGGG
rnacentral:rRNA from 1 species